rnacentral:lncRNA from 1 species
AGAGAGGCAGAGGGAGAAGCAGGCUCCAUGCAGAGAGCCUGACGUGGGACUCGAUCCAGGGUCUCCAGGAUCAUGCCCUGGGCUGCAGGCGGUGCUAAACCGCUGCGCCACCAGGGCUGCCCUAAAGGCAAGUUUCAUAAUCUAUACUUCAGCUCAUCUGUAAAAUGGAGAUAAAAGUAUCCAACAUCUUUGGGUGGCUGUGAAGAUGAAAUGAUAUAAUUCAAUAAAUGUUAAUUUUUAAAAGAUUUUAUUUAUUUAAGAAAGAGAGAGCACACAUGUUCAGGGGCGGGGAGGGGUACAAGCAGAUUCCAUGCUGAGUGCGGAACCCCCGCAGAGAUCAUGAUCUAAGCCUAAAUCAAGAGUCCACAACUUAACCUACUGAGCCACCCAGGUGCCCCUAUAAAUGUCAACUUUUAUUAUGGAAGAACAAGUUGGAUAAAGAGAAACAGAUCAACAAAAUCCAGGCAGAUGUGAAUGAGGGCCAUUUAAAAAUUUAUGGAGUCAACGGUCCAAAUAAGAUCUACUUCAAGAUCAUUCUGGUAGCAGUGAAAGGCUUGACUGAACAUAAAUCACAAAGGUCUGAAAAGUCCAUUAGAAGGCUCUAAUAAUAAUACAAGGAAGAAAGAAAAACCUGAUGGUUAGCAACAGAGAUAUACAUACAGGAAUGUAGACAGGGAGAUGGGUCAGAGAGCCAACUAUAAGGAAUUGCCUUCAAAAAUCAAAGUAUAGUGAUUUUAUUGGAUUGGGAAGCUGAAGAAGAUAUCGAGGUUUCUGACUUAACUGAUAAGGUGUUUGAUCAUACCAUUCACUAUAUCAAGGAACAUAAGAGAAACCCAGGUUAGUAUGAGAUAAUUCUUGUUUUGGCCUUCUUAAGCUUGAGAAAUCCAAAGACAAUCCAAGAAAAGAUCUAUACUGAACAAUCUAGAGCUCAGAAGAGAUGUCAAGGCACAAGAAAAGAUAAAUCAAUGUAAAGAUGGUAGUAGAAGUGAUUAGAACUUUAUGAUUGCUCAGUGAGCAUAUGUAAAGUGAGAAAAGGGCCUGGAACAUAACCUUAAAGAGUUCUCAAUAUUUUAUGUGGUGAGCAUAACCAAGGAAUAUAAAAGGGAGACAAAGAACAGAUAAGUAAGAAGAAAAUCAGAAGAAUUAUUUAAAAAGCCAUAUGAGUGCUAAGAAUGAAAAGGGAAGGAAGAUGCCUAACAGAGCAAAACGUUCAAGGGUGAGUUUACUUCUUAUGACAAAAAGGAGUGGGAAUUGUCAUUUUUCUAUACUUUCUGCUAAAUGUCUGUCAUCUAUCACCUCCCUUAUGCCUCAGAACAAAAAUCUGUCAAGUGGGUAUUAAAACUCCCACGUUACUACCAGGAAAUGGUAAAUGAUUUAGGAGAUAAAAUAAUGUGAAGGUAGUUUAUAUAAUAUAAAAGCCAGGUCAGCCUGCUCCUAAAUCCCAUACUCUACCUACUGCCCUACUGCCCUACUGCCAUCUUUAAGACACAGAUGAUAGAAAACAGUACAGUGGAAUUGUGAGGUGAAAUCCUAGCUAAAGCUAAAGAUGACAAUAAAAUGUUAUUUUUUUAAGAUUUUAUUUAUUCAUGAGACACAAACACACACACACAGGCAGAGGGAGAAGCAAGCUCCAUGCAGGGAGCCCGACGCGGGACACGAUCCCAGGUCUCCAGGAUCACGCCCCUGGCUGCAGGCGGCGCUAAACCGCUGCGCCACCCGGGCUGCCCAAAUAGAAGUUAUUGUUUUACAAGAUUUGUUGUGAAAAGGAAAGACGACACAUUCCAGGGAUUACUUUAGACUACUAAUUCAACUGCAAUUUAAUAGGUAUUUUUUAAUUUUUUUUUUUUAUUUAUUUAUGAUAGUCACACAGAGAGAAAGAGAGAGAGGCAGAGACACAGGCAGAGGGAGAAGCAGGCUCCGUGCACCAGGAGCCCGACGUGGGAU